rnacentral:rRNA from 1 species
UACAGAGGUGGCAAGCGUUGUUCGGAAUUACUGGGCGUAAAGGGCGCGUAGGCGGCCAUCUAAGUCAGACGUGAAAUCCCCCGGCUUAACCUGGGAACUGCGUCUGAUACUGGAAGGCUUGAGUAUGGGAGAGGGAUGUGGAAUUCCUGGUGUAGCGGUGAAAUGCGCAGAUAUCAGGAGGAACACCGGUGGCGAAGGCGGGUCUCUGGGCAGUACCUGACGCUGAGGAGCGAAAGCGUGGGGAGCGAACAGG